rnacentral:rRNA from 1 species
AUUGAACGCUGGCGGAAUGCUUUACACAUGCAAGUCGAACGGCAGCACGGGGCAACCUGGUGGCGAGUGGCGAACGGGUGAGUAAUACAUCGGAACGUGCCCAAUCGUGGGGGAUAACGUAGCGAAAGUUACGCUAAUACCGCAUACGAUCUACGGAUGAAAGCGGGGGAUCGCAAGACCUCGCGCGAGUGGAGCGGCCGAUGUCAGAUUAGGUAGUUGGUGGGGUAAAGGCUCACCAAGCCAACGAUCUGUAGCUGGUCUGAGAGGACGACCAGCCACACUGGAACUGAGACACGGUCCAGACUCCUACGGGAGGCAGCAGUGGGGAAUUUUGGACAAUGGGCGCAAGCCUGAUCCAGCCAUUCCGCGUGCAGGAUGAAGGCCUUCGGUUGUAACUGCUUUGUACGGACGAAACGGACGAGCUCUAAUACAGUUGCUAAUGACGGUACCGUAAGAAUAAGCACCGGCUAACUAACGUGCCAGCAGCCGCGGU